GAUGAACGCUGGCGGCGUGCCUAAUACAUGCAAGUCGAGCGAACAGACGAGAGUGCUUGCACUCUCUGACGUUAGCGGCGGACGGGUGAGUAACACGUGGGUAACCUACCUAUAAGACUGGGAUAAUUUCGGGAAACCGGAGCUAAUACCGGAUAAUAUUUAGCUUCGCAUGACGCAAUAGUGAAAGACGGUUCUGCUGUCACUUAUAGAUGGACCCGCGGUGUAUUAGCUAGUUGGUGAGGUAACGGCUCACCAAGGCAACGAUACAUAGCCGACCUGAGAGGGUGAUCGGCCACACUGGGACUGAGACACGGCCCAGACUCCUACGGGAGGCAGCAGUAGGGAAUCUUCCGCAAUGGACGAAAGUCUGACGGAGCAAUGCCGCGUGAGUGAAGAAGGUUUUCGGAUCGUAAAACUCUGUUGUAAGGGAAGAACAAGUACGUUAGUAACUGAACGUACCUUGACGGUACCUUACCAGAAAGCCACGGCUAACUACGUG
rnacentral:rRNA from 1 species